rnacentral:rRNA from 1 species
AUGCCGUAUUAAGGCGAAACCGCGAAUGGCUCAUUAAAUCAGUUAUGGUUCCUUGGAUCGUACCUUACUACUUGGAUAACUGUGGUAAUUCUAGAGCUAAUACAUGCAGCAGAGCUCCGACCUUCGGGGACGAGCGCUUUUAUUAGACCAAAACCAAUCGGACUCUGUCCGUCUCUUGUGGUGACUCUGAAUAACUUUGGGCUGAUCGCACGGGCCUGUCCCGGCGACGUAUCUUUCAAGUGUCUGCCUUAUCAACUUUCGAUGGUAGGUUACGCGCCUACCAUGGUCGUAACGGGUAACGGGGAAUCAGGGUUCGAUUCCGGAGAGGGAGCCUGAGAAACGGCUACCACAUCCAAGGAAGGCAGCAGGCGCGCAAAUUACCCACUCCCAGAACGGGGAGGUAGUGACGAAAAAUAACAAUACGGGACUCUUUUGAGACCCCGUAAUUGGAAUGAGUACACUCUAAAUCCUUUAACGAGGAUCCAUUGGAGGGCAAGUCUGGUGCCAGCCGCCGCGGUAACUCCAGCUCCAAUAGCGUAUAUUAAAGUUGUUGCGGUUAAAAAGCUCGUAGUUGGAUCUCAGUUCCAGUCCGGCGGUCCGCCUACCGGUGGUUACUGCCGGUUCUGAACAGCCAGCCGGUUUCUCUUGAUGAUCUUCACCGGUUGUCUUGGGUGACCGGCAAGUUUACUUUGAAAAAAUUAGAGUGCUCAAAGCAGGCGCGACGCCUGAAUAAUGGUGCAUGGAAUAAUGGAAUAGGACCUCGGUUCUAUUUUGUUGGUUUUCGGAACACGAGGUAAUGAUUAAGAGGGACAGACGGGGGCAUUCGUAUUGCGACGCUAGAGGUGAAAUUCUUGGACCGUCGCAGGACGAACUACUGCGAAAGCAUUUGCCAAGAAUGUUUCCAUUAAUCAAGAACGAAAGUUAGAGGUUCGAAGGCGAUCAGAUACCGCCCUAGUUCUAACCAUAAACGAUGCCAGCCAGCGAUCCGGCUGUGUUCCUCAAAUGACACGCCGGGCAGCUUCCGGGAAACCAAAGCUUUUGGGUUCCGGGGGAAGUAUGGUUGCAAAGCUGAAACUUAAAGGAAUUGACGGAAGGGCACCACCAGCCUUGGAGCCUGCGGCUUAAUUUGACUCAACACGGGAAAACUCACCCGGCCCGGACACAGGAAGGAUUGACAGAUUAAGAGCUCUUUCUUGAUUCUGUGGGUGGUGGUGCAUGGCCGUUCUUAGUUGGUGGAGCGAUUUGUCUGGUUAAUUCCGAUAACGAGCGAGACUCUAGCCUACUAAAUAGACGUUCCGAUCAAUGUCGUCGGACGU